CGCCUCUUGCAUUAUAUGUAUAAGAGGUCCCGCCUGCCCUGUGACUAUAUGUUUAACGGCCGCGGUAUUUUGACCGUGCAAAGGUAGCGCAAUCACUUGUCUUUUAAAUAAAGACCUGUAUGAAUGGCAUGACGAGGGCUUAACUGUCUCCUUCUCCCGGUCAAUGAAAUUGAUCUCCCCGUGCAGAAGCGGGGGUAUUAUUAUAAGACGAGAAGACCCUGUGGAGCUUUAAAUGAUGAGAGAUUUUAUGCAACAAACCUAAAAAGGUAUAAGCGAAUUUAUACUCCCUCUAAUAUUUUUGGUUGGGGCGACCGCGGAGUAAAAAGAAACCUCCGUGAGGAAUGAGGUAAUUAACCUUAAAUCCCAGAACGACAAUUCAAAGAAACAAAAUUUUUGACCUAAAGAUCCGGCAAAGCCGAUCAACGAACCUAGUUACCCCAGGGAUAACAGCGCAAUCCCCUUCAAGAGUCCCUAUCGACAAGGGGGUUUACGACCUCGAUGUUGGAUCAGGAUAUCCUAAUGGUGUAGCCGCUAUUAAGGGUUCGUUUGUUCAACGAUUAAAAUCCU
rnacentral:rRNA from 1 species